rnacentral:tmRNA from 3 species
GGGGAUGAUAGGUUUCGACGGGAAAGUACUUUGACACGCAGCAAGCCGAGUUUGACUUAUUACUCGUUAAUACAUAGGUCAAAAAAACACAAACGGCAAGGAUUAUUCCUCAGCCGGAGAUUACGCUCUCGCAUACGCGGCAGUUUAAACUCCCAUCCUGAUAUUUUGCGUCUGGGCGAAGUAUUCUGGGGUGUUAUCCAAACCAGAACUCUUGUGGAAACUGAUCAAACCCACAUCUGUACCUUGAUCUAGCAAAUUCUGAUACUUUUGUUUGUUGAGGAUGGAUUUGCAAAACAAAUCAACAAAAUAAGCUUGUAGAAGCGUUCAAAUUUCUUUCACGGAUGAGGGUCCAAUUCCCUCCAUCUCCACCA